rnacentral:rRNA from 1 species
GAUGAACGCUGGCGGUAUGCCUAACACAUGCAAGUCGUACGAGAGUUUUUAACUCUAGUGGCGGACGGGUGAGUAACACGUGAGAAUUUGCCUUUAGGAGGGGGACAACAAUUGGAAACGAAUGCUAAUACCCCAUAUGCUUUCGAGUGAAAUGGAUUUUAUCCGACUAGAGAGAAGCUCGCGGCUGAUUAGCUUGUUGGUAAGGUAAGAGCUUACCAAGGCGACGAUCAGUAUCUGGUUUGAGAGGACGAUCAGACACACUGGAACUGAGACACGGUCCAGACUCCUACGGGAGGCAGCAGUGGGGAAUUUUCCGCAAUGGGCGAAAGCCUGACGGAGCAAUACCGCGUGAGGGAAGAAUGCCUAUGGGUUGUAAACCUCUUUUUUCAGGGAGGAAUAAAAUGACGUGUACCUGAAGAAUAAGCAUCGGCUAACUCCGUG